CAACAUCUAUUUUUAUACUUACUGUAUAUUUGCCCUAACAAUCACUUAAAAUCUAAUUUGUGGCUCAUCUUCUGUGAUCACACUGCUUAAGGUCUAAACAAAUUCACAGCAUUUUAAAUGAUACCUAUCAGAGGAACAAGAUGUCUCUUCAAUCAAGAGAGGGAGACAUACCAAGGAAGAGGAUGAGGUGAAAUAAAAGGGUCCCUUAUUGGCAGUAAGGACACUGGGAGCACUGUCUUGGCAAGAACCAAAUGAAAGCGUUUCAGGGAGUGUCAACCUAAGUAGACGUUAUGGGUCUGACAGCAGAGAGCGAUGGGCCACGGACAUGCACUCUAAAAGACAAACACACUACAAUCCGCAGAUAGACUAUGUGCUGGACUAACCUGGUUCCCUAACUGCCACUCAAGAAAAGAGGAGGAAAACUGAAAAAUGCAGAUAUAGCUUGUCCAAGGGUCACAGUGCCCAGAGGUAAGGAAGCCAGGAUUUAAACUCUGGUGGUGGAUUUGCAGCCCAAGCUCUUAACUGCUACAUUUCCUGCCUGACACAGAAAAAAAAUGCAAUAACAAAAUAAGCUGUCAAGAAAAAAAAAAAAAGAGAAAAUUGCAACUGAGAAGUUGUGGUGGGGAGAACGAGACUGCCACUUCCAGCUGCCUUGGGGGACUGAGGCUGUCCUAGAAGUGCCAGGGUUUUAAGAACACAAAGGAGUCACUCUGUCGUCUUUUCAAAGCAGCAGCUUAUACAGCUGGAGUUUAUCCGAAUGUCUGAAAUCCCCAGCGAUUAUGGACAAACGCACUAACAAAUAAAACAGUCUUUAUAGACUGUCUGGAGAGCUUCCUUUUUAGGAUAUCACUAUGAAAUGAAAAGCGUUGUUAAAAAAUACAACUGUUUUCCUUUUGUAGAUACGUAAACUGAGAUAUACAGGAUUUCCCUUUUUUGAAAAACAAAAAACUCAUGUGAAGAAAAGAAUAAGCCUGCAAUAAAUCCCAGGCCUCUGUUACAUCUUAAUAGUGUUAUUUUAUUCUAUGCUACA